GAUGAACGCUGGCGGCGUGCCUAAUACAUGCAAGUCGAGCGAAUGGAUUAAGAGCUUGCUCUUAUGAAGUUAGCGGCGGACGGGUGAGUAACACGUGGGUAACCUGCCCAUAAGACUGGGAUAACUCCGGGAAACCGGGGCUAAUACCGGAUAACAUUUUGAACCGCAUGGUUCGAAAUUGAAAGGCGGCUUCGGCUGUCACUUAUGGAUGGACCCGCGUCGCAUUAGCUAGUUGGUGAGGUAACGGCUCACCAAGGCAACGAUGCGUAGCCGACCUGAGAGGGUGAUAGGCCAGACUGGGACUGAGACACGGCCCAGACUUCUACGGGAGGCAGCAGUAGGGAAUCUUCCGCAAUGGACGAAAGUCUGACGGAGCAACGCCGCGUGAGUGAUGAAGGCUUUCGGGUCGUAAAACUCUGUUGUUAGGGAAGAACAAGUGCUAGUUGAAUAAGCUGGCACCUUGACGGUACCUAACCAGAAAGCCACGGCUAACUACGUGCCAGCAGCCGCUGUAA
rnacentral:rRNA from 1 species